AUGAACGCUGGCGGCGUGCUUAACACAUGCCCGUCGAACGGAAAGGCCGAAGCUUGCUUCGGUACUCGAGUGGCGAACGGGUGAGUAACACGUGGGUGAUCUGCCCUGUACUUCGGGAUAAGCUUGGGAAACUGGGUCUAAUACCGGAUAUGACGAUCUCUUGGAUGGGGUUGUGGAAAGCUUUUGCGGUAUGGGAUGAGCUCGCGGCCUAUCAGCUUGUUGGUGGGGUAAUGGCCUACCAAGGCGUCGACGGGUAGCCGGCCUGAGAGGGUGUACGGCCACAUUGGGACUGAGAUACGGCCCAGACUCCUACGGGAGGCAGCAGUGGGGAAUAUUGCACAAUGGGCGCAAGCCUGAUGCAGCGACGCCGCGUGGGGGAUGACGGCCUUCGGGUUGUAAACUCCUUUCGCAAUCGACGAAGCCUUUUGGUGACGGUAGGUUGAGAAGAAGCACCGGCUAACUACGUG
rnacentral:rRNA from 1 species